rnacentral:tRNA from 1 species
UCCCGGAUCGUCCAAUGGAAGGACAGCUGGUUCUGGCCCAGCAGAUCGAGGUUCGAGUCCUUGUCCGGGAG